rnacentral:lncRNA from 1 species
ACAUGAAUUAUAAAUAAAUAAAAGUUAUUUUAGUAUUUUUUCAUCACAAAUAUUUCAUAUUCUAAUGAACUCCUGUGUUGUGGUGAAGUCCUUAGGACUAUUUAGACUCGACAAAGGAGGAUUUGUCGCUUAGUCCUUAAACCUGUUCGCGACCAAAUGAUACAUUGUUACCAAGGACGACAACGUUUAUCGAGCAUAGGUCGUUGUGUGCCAUAUGGAUUGGUUGUCCUCAUAACCAAGGAGUGUGGAGACACUGGUAUGGCAUACAGGUGAGAUGUAAUGGUACAUCUGUACUGAACGUGACNNNNNNNNNNNNNNNNNNNNCUUGCAAGCAACUCACUGCACUUAGGCACUGGACUACCUGAAUUUCUAAUUCAGUGACGGAAGGCUGCUGGGUGUAGUCAAGUACUUGACUUGUCGGUGCGUGUGUCAAGAUGGGAUUGACCACUCCAGUUUAGGAGCUGUGUACAGUCAUGUUUCAAUUUAACAAAACCUUGACCAGGGUAGUCUUUGUGAGGAGUCACAGGACUGUUUGAGUUGAGCACAAUUCGGAUGAUCUAAUCAGGGUUGACAGUUUAACCCUGAGUCAUCCUAAACGCAGAGGUCAAAAGGAUGAAUUAUACAGUAACCAUAUUCACAUAGGUUC